rnacentral:rRNA from 1 species
GGGAACAGCCCAGCGCCGAAUCCCCGAUCCUACGGGUCGCGGGAAAUGUGGCGUUUAGGAGUGAGCGUGCCGAGGUCGGAACCCGCAGCAAGUCCCCCUGACCGGGGCCUUCCCAGAGCGGGUGCGAGGCCCAUAGCCGCGGGGUCCGUCUCGGAUGCGAUCUCCUGGGAGUCGGGUUGCUUGGGAGUGCAGCCCUAAUCGGGUGGUAAACUCCACCUAAGGCUAAAUACCGCCGUGAGACCGAUAGCAAACAAGUACCGUGAGGGAAAGUUGCAAAGAACUUUGAAGAGAGAGUUCAAGAGUACGUGAAACUGCUCAGAGGUAAACGGGUGGGCCCUCGAAAUCCUGUGGAGGGAGGAUUCAGUCUGUAGUUGCCAUCGCGCUGGUCGGAAGUAAAAGAAGGGCUUCCCGCGAACGGGGCCGUUCGACCGCGAGCUUUGGUCAGGACAGACGCAUUUGUCUCCCUCUCCGAGGACGCCGCAGCCCGCGGGGAAGUGCAAACGUGACGGCCUUAAAGGCGGGAGAUGGCAGGUGGCCGGUGGCGAGCCUCGUGCUCAUCGCCGGUUGUUAGCCGUCCCGUCGGUGGCUCGUCUCCCCGCGGAGGUAUCAUGACGUCCUUCGGGGCGUCUGCAUCUCCUCCUCGUCGAAGUCUGGACGUGCAGUGGCGAGCGAAGGCAACCGCGCGGCCGCACUCCGCCGGAGUGGGCCAGCGUACGGUCGGCGCCGGCGGCCGCUGAGGACCAGUCGGAGGUUGGAGGUUAGCGGCGAGUAGGUCGGUCACCCACCCGACCCGUCUUGAAACACGGACCAAGGAGUCUAACAUGUGCGCGAGUCAAUGGGUCUUGAACAAGCCCAGAGGCGCAAUGAAAGUAAAGGUCGACGCCAGUCGGCCGAGUCGGGAUCCCGGCCUUCGGGUCGGGCGCACCGACGACCCGUCUUAUGCCGUUUACGGCUUGGGCGGA